rnacentral:rRNA from 1 species
AUUGAACGCUGGCGGCAUGCUUUACACAUGCCAGUCGAACGGCAGCGCGGGCUUCGGCCUGGCGGCGAGUGGCGAACGGGUGAGUAAUGCAUCGGUACGUGCCCAGUAGUGGGGGAUAGCCCGGCGAAAGCCGGAUUAAUACCGCAUACGACCUUAGGGUGAAAGCGGGGGACCGAAAGGCCUCGCGCUAUUGGAGCGGCCGAUGUCGGAUUAGCUAGUUGGUGGGGUAAAGGCUUACCAAGGCGACGAUCCGUAGCUGGUCUGAGAGGACGACCAGCCACACUGGGACUGAGACACGGCCCAGACUCCUACGGGAGGCAGCAGUGGGGAAUUUUGGACAAUGGGGGCAACCCUGAUCCAGCCAUGCCGCGUGCGGGAAGAAGGCCUUCGGGUUGUAAACCGCUUUUGUUCGGGAAGAAAUCCUCUGGGCUAAUACCCCGGGGGGAUGACGGUACCGGAAGAAUAAGCACCGGCUAACUACGUG